rnacentral:misc_RNA from 1 species
AACCAUAGAAACCUGCGGAGUACCUGCGGAGGGAUCAUUAUCGAGUUGCAAAACUCCAACCCUUUGUGAACAUACCUCAGUCGUUGCUUCGGCGGUGGACGGCCUUUUUUCGAAAAGGCCCGAAGCCGCCGGAGGUUCCAAACUCGUGUUUUGUUUAGUGUAUCUCUGAGCCUGAAAACAAAUAAUCAAAACUUUUAGCAACGGAUCU